rnacentral:antisense_RNA from 1 species
GUGAGGAAACUGAGGCUCGUUACUGACUUGCCUGCAGUAACGAACUGGAAGAGCCUGCACGUGAACUGCAUCUCCAGGUCUCGAACCAUUUCCUGUCCUGGUCCCAGGACCUAGGUGGGGCCGCCGCACGGUCAGACAGAGCCUGCCCGCCUGGGACCCCUUGGCCGCCCUCGCCCCCAGCCCCGCCCCCCAGCCCCGCCCCCGCGCGCUCACCGGCCUCGGCGCUGGCCGCCCCACCAUCCGGAGCGCACCGCCCGCACGCCCAGCGCCAGGAGCAGCAGCAGCAGCAGCGCGGCGCCCGCCGUCAGGCCCCCGACCAGCGCCCUCCAGUGGACGGCCACCUCGCAGCGCGGGCCAGAGAACCAGUGCGUGUCGGUAGAGUAGCAGCUGCGGGAGAUCGCAGGAACGCACUGGCCCUGGUGACAGUCGAUGGCGUUGUCCACGUCCGACGUGCAUUUGGUGACACAGCGGAGCCGGGUAGCCUCCACCAAAGGGAAGUAGAACUCUUCAUAGCCCGUGGGAGCGGCGCGGCGGCAGAUGGCUGGGGGUUGGGGAGGGGGAUGCACAGAGACAAGGACCUCAUCCAUUCUAUUCAGGGGCCUGAUAAUGGUGCCUCUGAAUAUGCGCGAGGUGGAUUCCAUUUCCGAGGUGGGGUGCUGUCGGGUAGAGCCUGGGAUUCGAUGAGGGGAGUCCAGCCCCAGCACCCUCACCCUCUCCUGGUGGCCCCUGCUGUCCUCAGGUGGAAGCCACUAACCAGCGCCAGGAAGGGCCGCCCUGGGCCCCAUGACUUGCCUCCCCCAGAGUUCUCUCCCUGCCCCCCGGCUUCAAUGGGCAAACGUCCCUGGUAGCCCGGAUCAUAGCCACGGGAGACCACUCAACCCUUUACCCGACCCUCACCUUCCGGGGUCAGCUCUGUCUUGCUGUUGUUGUUCACCUUGAUGGAGUCAGGCUUAAAACACAGGGCUGCGGGAACACAGGCGCGGAUGGAAUGGGCAGGGCAGGUCGAGGGGUUAAGGUCAAGGGGUUAGCGCCAGGAAGCAGGAUAGGCACAGGGAGGGCAGUGACGGCUCUCUCCGUCUGGGGGAGUGUGGAGGAGCCACAAGGGAAGACUCCUGUUGCCUGCCUCAUCUCCCCUGAAUAAUCCGAGGUCUUCAGCCAUCCGGGAGAUGCUGAGCAUGACAAUCAGGGGGUCUCUUUCCCAGUACUGAGGUUCGGGGGAGACCCUCCCUAGCCCCACCCUUGACACCGUUGUGUGUGGACUCAUUCCCCUUCUCCCAACCUGCCAGAGGUACCACAGGGCUGCCACCUGAGCCCAGUGGGCCCCUGGCUGAGCUGGAGUGGGCUGGGGUGGCAGCUCAGGCCCUGGCCCCUCCCUCCAGCCUGGGCUCACUCUGGGAGUCCUGGCAGCUGUUCGCAUCCUGGCUGGCGUUCUGCAGCCCCUCCUUCAGCGUGGUCUUCACCUGCUCAUACUCGCUCUCCAGCUGGGGGCUGAAGGGCAUCUCUAGCAGGACCAGAGACAAAGUCUUGCUCUGUCACCCAGGCUGGAGUGCAGUGGUAUAAUUAUAGCUCACUGCAGCCUCCCACUCCUGGGCUAAAGUGAUCCUUUCUCCUCAGCCUCCCAAGUAUCUGGGACUACAGGUGAUCCACCCGCCUAGCCUUCCCAAAGUGCUAGGAUUGCAAGUGUGAGCCACCACAUCUGGCCUGACAUUCGCUUUGUGUUGCAUCAAGCCAUCAUCCACCAGGCGCCCCUGGAUGCGCUCUCUGUCCCUCUCUCUCUUUCUCUCUCUCUCUCUGUCUAACGCUGACCCACUCAGUAGAGCAGGGCCCAGCCAGAGGGGGACGAAGUCACCAGUAGAGCAGGGCCCAGCCAGAGGGGGACGAAGUCACCAAUCCAGGCACCACCUUCCCACACGUCCCUGCAACUUCUCUCCUUCCAGUGUGCGGAAGAAGAGAGGUGCCACCCCUCCUCCAGAUAAAUGGCCCCAGAAAACGAUCCGAAAAAAUACCCAGGAAGUGAUUCCUUAUGUAACCCCUCCACCCGUCUCUUUAUAAAAUCUGAUGAUUACAAAAG